UACAGAGACUGCAAGCGUUAUUCGGAUUCACUGGGCGUAAAGGGUGCGCAGGCGGUUGGGUGUGUCAGAUGUGAAAUCCCGAGGCUCAACCUCGGAACUGCGUCUGAAACUACUCGACUAGAGUACUGGAGAGGGUAACGGAAUUCACGGUGUAGCAGUGAAAUGCGUAGAUAUCGUGAGGAACACCAGAGGCGAAGGCGGUUACCUGGACAGUUACUGACGCUCAGGCACGAAAGCAUGGGGAGCAAAAAGGG
rnacentral:rRNA from 1 species